CUGAAAACUGCUGCAUGUCUGGAUCGGUUCUGUAGUUUUGAUCAGUCUGAUCCCUGUUACACAGCUCUGGGACACAAACUCAAUCUGAUGCUGGACUCUAGUGAAUAUGGUCUGAAGAUACAAAAGAGAAUAAACAACCCACAAGAUGAUCCAGUUUGUAGAGAGUAAAGAAUGGUAAAAUGAAGAGGAGUGAAUGUGAUCUUUAUAGAAACAGACCUGAAGUAACAGUCAUUAAUGGGACUCUGAUAAUAAACCCUGUGAACAGAACAGAUUCAGGGAAUUAUAGAUUAACUGUCUAUAACUCAGAUGGCUCAGAAACAUCUAGAGAUCUUCAGGUGAUUGUUGAAGCUCCUAUUGGCUCAGUGGAAGUGUCAAUCACCUGCUCCUCCAGUGGG